UUGUUUUUAAUUUAAUUCAGUUUUAAUUUAAUUUUUAUUUAAUAAAAAUAAUUUAUGUUUUAGUAUCAAACAUUAUUGAAUAAAUAAUAUUUUAUUUAUAGUUAAUUUCACUGUAAAGGUGGUUAUUUUUUCAUUUUUUAAGUAAAAUUGUUUUUUUGUACCUUUUGUAUCAGGGUUUAUCUAUUAUAAAUUCUUAUUGCUAUAAUCCCGAAGUUAUAAGGGCUAUUAUUUAUUGCUUUUUGAUGUUUCAUAAUCAUUUGUAAAUUUUUAAUAGGGGUUAUAUGCCAUUCAGUUAUAAAUAUCUGGUUUUUUAAUAAUUGAAUUUAAUUCAGGAUUUAAUUAUCAUGUCAUGUUUAAAGUUAAUUAUUCUUGACAAUUUAAAUCUAAUAUUUAUAGGGAUAAGCCUGUAAUUAUUUUUAUAGUUUAAUUCUUUAUGUAUAGUUAUUGUAGGAUUAGAAACUUCCAUCAUUAAAUUCGUUAUAGUUUAUCUUAUACUAAUAUUUAUUUAAUGAAACUUAAUUUUUUAUUAAAAUAUUUAAUUUAUUUAUAAAUUUAAAGUAAUAAUGAUAGAAUUAGUAAACUUGUAAAUUUAAUUAUAGUAACUCGGCAAAUAAUAUAUUCACCUGUUUAUCAAAAACAUGUCCUGUUGUUAAGUUUAUAUCAGGUCUGGCCUGCCCACUGAUAAUUAUAUUGAAGGGCCGCGGUAUUUUGACCGUGCGAAGGUAGCAUAAUCAUUUGUCUUUUAAUUGUAGGCUUGUAUGAAUGGUUUGAUGAAAUAUAAACUUUCUUUUAUUUAUAAUAUUUAAUUUAAUUUUUUAGUUAAAAAGCUAAAAUUGUCUUGUUGGACGAGAAGACCCUAUAGAAUUUUACUUGAUCAUUUAUAUUUACUUUUUUUGGUUAUUAAUUUAAGUGUAUAUUAUGUUAAGUUGUGUUGGGGCGACAGGGAAAUUUAUUUAACUUUCUUUAUUUAUAUCUUAUUUAUAUAUAUAUUAAUGAUCCUAAAUUUUGGAUAUUAAGAUUAAAUUACCUUAGGGAUAACAGCGUAAUUCUUAUGGAGAGUUCAUAUCGAUAUUGGAGUUUGCGACCUCGAUGUUGGAUUAAAUUUAGAUGUUAGUGUAGCAGCUAACUUUCUAGGUCUGUUCGACCUUUAAAUAUUUACAUGAUCUGAGUUCAGACCGGCGUGAGCCAGGUUGGUUUCUAUCCUCAAAUUUUAUUAUAUCUCUUAGUACGAAAGGACCAGGUAUAUUGGAAAUUCCAUAUUAUUUGAAUAUUAUUA
rnacentral:rRNA from 1 species